AGAUUGGUGGUGUUUACCGCAAUUUUGGGGAAAAUAUUUUUCUUUUGGGAAUGUAUGGAGAAACAAAAAUCUCUGGGAAAUUUUUCCGGAAGAAUAUUUCUGUAUCAGGGAGACUGGGAAGUAUUUUAUCUGCCUAGUCACGGCCGCCUGUAUUAGAGGCCGGAGGACUGAAAUGUGGCAACGUUACGUUAGGGCCUACCGCAUGGCUGUGGCUAUAAGGUAGCGAACGGAAGCAGUUGUUUACGUACUUUCGCGGUGUCUCUUUUAUCCGACAUUACAGUGUAAUUAUGCUAUACUGGACCCUGCAAAAAUUAUAGAAAGUAGUCGUGACUACAGUCGAAGAUAUAACACAAUAUGCCAGAAAAAUGUGUUCCUGGUUGCAACAGCAACUACAAAUCCAGCAAGGAAGAGGGUUUCAUCUCAGUGUUCAAAUUCCCUACUGAUUCCCUAACAGAUUCAUGUCUCUGUAACAUAUUGUUAAAUAAUUAUACCAAAAUCCAAAAUGAUCAUUUAAUAUGUUCCAAGAAGGAGGGAGUUAAUAGAAAAUUAAAAACAUUA